CCAAGAACCGGCUGUCGCUCCCUCCUCCUCCACGGCGUACGCCUAGCCGCCGGCGAGAAAGAAACAGAAGCUGUCCUACAAGACUCGGUACCUUGUCAUGGCCGCGCAAACGCUACACAAGUUCCUGGGUUAGUGAUCUAUGGAUCUAUUAUAUUUGUUUGGAUCUUAUCUUCUUAUUUAUAUUUCAAGGAUACCAAUAGCUGUUGGAGCUAAUGGCCUAAUGCAGAUCUGAAAAAAUAUCAACGUAAGAGGAAGACCAACUACUCCAGUUGGAUUUUACUUUUGUCAUGGUGCUCCCCGUUGACUAUUGUUUGCUUGUUGAGUUAGCUCGUACAUAGAUGUAUUCCCUUCUUAUCAGAUGAGAUGCAGUUUGCUACCUUGUUUUGCAGAGCUGGAGGUAGUUCUGGGGGGAGAUCUGAUGUGUGUUGACGUAGAGUAGCUCACCGAUGCAUCGGGGCUUCUUUUUUAUUUGCCAGUACCUGACAAACUAAAUGAGCUUUCAUCGUGGAUUGGAGACAUUAUUAGCUACCUCCAAGUUGAUUCUUUGAUUUUUAUUUUGACUUUUUUGCUCAUUCUCUUGUCAGUGGGUGCAGGAUCGGUGCAACGUGGUUGCGAGCUGUCCCGUAAUAACGCAUGUUUCCCUAAAGGUUCGUGACACCUUUCUCUUUUUUCCAUACCUAUCUUUCGAGGUUUUUUUGUGUCAAAUUAUCUGCUAAUCAUUGAAAAAUUCAUUAUGCGUCAUGUUCUAUUUAUGAUUGGUUGAUUAGCUCUGGUGAUAUUUUUAAAUAAUCUUGAUUUAACCAUAUUGAUCAGAAAUUGGUACAACUCUUUACACCUUUCCUUGCUCACUGUGCUAAAUUAAACAUCAAGUCGAUAAUAUGAUAUGCUUACAUAUAGACGCCAUUCAAUUGAUAUGACUACAUGAGCGCGAAACAAGCAGCAGGUCAGAGCUUCAACGACAAGAUGAGGUUUAACAGUUGAGUGGUAUUUUUGCUAGAUGUAUUUCUUUCAAUUUUGAUCUGAAUAGCCAUGAACAUAUAGCUGCAGAUGUUAUUAAGCAAGCUACCAGGAGUCCUUGAACAAGCAUCCAAAUUUACCUGCUCUAUCUGAACUGCCACCUUAGACUCAGAGGACUCUCAAGAACCCCGCAACGGCUUGCCUGAAUAUUGAGUUGCUAUUCAAUUCUCAGUCUCUCAAUUGGAUCAGAGUCUUCAAGAUGUGCAUCUUUAACUCAUUAUUCUGUGUGUUUGUUUAGUAUAGUUGGAUUGAGUUACUUUAUGUGCUUAUUCCUAGUUGACUAUGCCCAAUUCAGUUAAUAGAAUUUUUGGAUUCAAUUUUCAGAAAUAUUUCAUAUGCAGAAGAACUGAGGCACAUGUGUGGUCAUUGGGCAACUGGUGUGCCAAGUUGUGAAUCUUCAUGUAUUUAGAUAGGUUGAUAUGAGGAUCUGCUUUCAAAUGCAUCAAGUAAGGAGCUACCCGGUUUGAUUCAAGGUGAUUUGUGUUGAUUAAUGUAUGAAUGUCAAUUGAAACUAGGUACUUGCGUACAUUGCAAUACAUUAGUUUGUCUCCUUCAGAGAUGUGUUUUAUACUCUUCUGAUGUAACUUUACACCAGGUUCGUCUUCAUGUCAAAUGACAUGGAGAAGCUUCCAUCAUAUUAGAAUAGUUGUCUAAUGUGUACAGUUCAUUUUUACACGUUAUGUUUGAAGCACCGAGAGAAUUACAUAUGGUAUGUUUCGUAAAUUGAUAUUAACUAUGUAAGUGAGAACAGAACAAUCUAUUCUCUUUUAUUAUGCUUUCGUCACCCAUACACUGCAUUGUUAUAUAGUAGUAUAUGAAUGUCAU
rnacentral:lncRNA from 1 species